rnacentral:rRNA from 1 species
UACAGAGGGUGCGAGCGUUAAUCGGAAUUACUGGGCGUAAAGGGGGCGCAGGCGGCUUCGCGCGUGGUGGGUGAAAUCUCCCGGCUCAACUGGGAGGGGGCUCAGCAGACGGCGAGGCUUGAGGCUCGGAGGGGGGCGUGGAAUUCCGGGUGGAGCGGUGAAAUGCGUAGAGAUCCGGAGGAACACCGACGGCGAAGGCAGCGCCCUGGACGAGACCUGACGCUCAGGCACGAAAGCUGGGGGAGCAAACAGG